rnacentral:rRNA from 1 species
GACGUACCACCCGAACGUUAUUCGGAUUCACUGGGCUUACAGAGUCCGUAGGCGGUGGAGAAAGUUAGGCGUGAAAUCCCCCAGCUCAACUGAGGAAUAGCGCUUAAAACUACUUCGCUAGAGAGAGUCAGAGGUAAGCGGAACUGAUGGUGGAGCGGUGAAAUGCGUUGAUAUCAUCAGGAACACCGGUGGCGAAAGCGGCUUACUGGGGCUUUUCUGACGCUGAGGGACGAAAGCUAGGGGAGCGAACGGG